CUUCACUCUACCAGAAACAACUGCUCACAGGACACAUCUGGCCCCCAUGUCUUUUUAAAUGAAAGGAAAUCAAGAUAAGGUGAAGAGGAGAUCAGUUGCCUCUGCAGAAGGUGUCUGAGAAGGAGAUGUUGAAGCUUUGCUUCUCCUUGUGCUUCUCCUCUUCCCCCAUAAGUCAUCUGAGAAGACUGCUUAAAUAUUCCACGCUGCCUUAGUGUGACUCAAAUUUCCAGCUGUUUUGCUGCCAGGAAGAACCAGGUGCCUUGGGAACAGUGAGGCUGAAAGGAGCAGGAAGCAAAGAAUGAGGCUGUUGAAGAAAUUCCACAGAUAUUUCCGUGGAAGUAUCAAGAAGACCUAGAGUAAGGCAUCAUCAAAUUGAUAGACUUGAACAAAAGGGAGGAGUGAGACAGACGGAUGGAUACAGAGCAUGGAGGGUGGUCAGGAAAGGCAGAGUCUGGAGAAUUUGAGCAGUGAUCUCAACAAAGAAAAGAAGAAAGUCAUAAGAUGAUAAGAACAGAGGAUUUUUUUGGCUAAAGCAGCUGCCAUACUCUUGGUAUGUCUUCAAUUCAAGCAUUCCAAAUGAAAGGAUCUGAUUGGUUUGACAACACUCCCUCUCAGGUAAAAUAUUUCCAUCGGGAAGAACUCUAGAAGCAGUCGUUUGGAUGGUCAACCUUUGGCCAGG